rnacentral:tRNA from 2 species
GCGCCUGUAGCUCAGUGGAUAGAGCAUCUGCCUCCGGAGCAGAAGGUCGGGGGUUCGAAUCCCUUCAGGCGCA